rnacentral:rRNA from 1 species
UACGUAGGGGCAAGCGUUAUCCGGAUUUACUGGGUGUAAAGGGAGCGCAGACGGAACUGCAAGUCUGAUGCGAAAGCCCGGGGCUCAACCGCGGGACUGCAUUGGAAACUGUAGAUCUGGAGUGCCGGAGGGGCAAGCGGAAUUCCUGGUGUAGCGGUGAAAUGCGUAGAUAUCAGGAGGAACACCGGCGGCGAAGGCGGCUUGCUGGACGGCAACUGACGUUGAGGCUCGAAAGCGUGGGGAGCAAACAGGAUUAGAUACCCUGGUA